GUGGGGAAUAUUGGGCAAUGGGCGCAAGCCUGACCCAGCAACGCCGCGUGAAGGAAGAAGGCCCUCGGGUUGUAAACUUCUUUUAUCAGGGACGAAGCAAGUGACGGUACCUGAUGAAUAAGCCACGGCUAACUACGUGCCAGCAGCCGCGGUAAUACGUAGGUGGCAAGCGUUAUCCGGAUUUACUGGGUGUAAAGGGCGUGUAGGCGGGAUGGUAAGUCAGAUGUGAAAACUCAGGGCUCAACCCUGAGCCUGCAUUUGAAACUAUCGUUCUUGAGUGAUGGAGAGGCAGGCGGAAUUCCGUGUGUAGCGGUGAAAUGCGUAGAUAUACGGAGGAACACCAGUGGCGAAGGCGGCCUGCUGGACAUUAACUGACGCUGAGGCGCGAAAGCGUGGGGAGCAAACAGG
rnacentral:rRNA from 1 species